rnacentral:lncRNA from 1 species
UAGAUUUUGUGGGUUGUUGGACGAUGAAACUAUUUUUUUUAUUAUUUUUUAGAAAUCUUUUUGUUUUUAGUUUUUUUUUGCAUAAUAUGUUUUGAAAUUUUAUAAAUAUUAUUUUCGGGUUUGGGUUUAGAAUCGGAUUUUGGGUUUUUGGUCAGAUUCGGGUUUGUUUCAGAUUCGGAUUCGGGUUUUCGGGUUUGGGUUUCGGAUUUUUGGUCAGGUUCGGAUUUGGAUAUGAAUUUUUAAAAUCUGUCUAAUUUGGAUUCGGAUUCGAAUUUCGGAUUUGGUAGUCAGGUUUGGGUUCAGAUUUUUAAAAAUUUGUCCCGAAUUCGAUCUGUUGACAAUCCUA